ACCUGAAUGAGAAUAGAAAAACACAAGUUAUCUAAGUGCAUUUAACAUACAAACUUUAUAUCAUAUAAAGAAUUUAUUUUGCGGGUCUUUCCUUUAGGAGUAGAAUGUGUGUCUCUUGGGAAUUACGGUCUUUAACCUAGCACUUCCAAAACCUUAGCGCUCUUAAAGAACAACAGUGCUGAAGUUACUUUUUCUUUUUGAAUAGUGUUGAACAAGCACCUUUUUCCCCUUAAGCAGCAGCCACUCCAGUUAUACUAGGAUGGCUGGGCUGCCUUUUCUCUCUGUCCUCAGCUGGCUCUUGGCUUUUAAAGAGUUAAGUGGGAGGUUUGUGAGGUCAUGUGUGACUUCGCUGGGUCUGGACUUUUGAAGCAGGUCUGUUGGAGGGAAGCUGCCUGUUGAGAGGGGAGGCUGAGAAGAGGGGAAGGACUCCUUCAACUCCUUUCAAGUUCUUAUCCCUGCAGCCCCUGAGGGACACAGUGGCAUUCUGGGAGAAUGUCACUGUGGAGUCAGUGUGUAGCAGUUUGUACUCACCACAGAAGCAGCUUUAGAAGCAUGUUAAGAGAGCGCUCUUGCAGAAGUUGAAAGUUUGCUAAGCAGAUGGAAUGGGAGAAUGUGCUUUGUCUUCUGAACAAAUGUGUUUGCUGAUAAAGGCAACUUUGGAGAUGGCAAAUUGCCUUGAGUUUGAAGUUCACUCUGUCUCAUUGAAGGUACUACUCCACUCCGUUCUGAGGAAUGCCUGUCUUUAGGCUCAUGCCACUGACCCAGGUGAACAGGAGCAAUGUGAGUGGAGAUUAUUACCAGUGCGUUUAGUUAUCUGUGCUGAUGGUCCACAGAGAUGAAGAGGAUUUCUUUUUCUUAAACAUGUGGUCCUAGGGUUUGAACCCAGGGCCUUGCACAUGCUAUGCAAGUGCUCCAUGAUUGUGCUAAAUGUUUUUAUGUUUUCUUCAAAACAAGUUUCAGUCUUAUAUCAGAUUCUUAGAUUCAGUGACCAGUUGCUUCAUCUGAGUUUCCUUCUUCUGCAUUAUUCCUAAUUGGCAUAGUUAC
rnacentral:lncRNA from 1 species